UUCGUGUGAACAGUGGUUGAUCACGAGUUAGUCGGUCCUAAGUUCAAGGCGAAAGCCGAAAAUUUUCAAGUAAAUAAAUAUCAAAAUAUAUUUGCCAAUUAAAAUGAUUUUAUAACACUUGAAUAAUUUUGAACGAAAGGGAAUACGGUUCCAAUUCCGUAACCUGUUGAGUAUCCGUUUGUUAUUAAAUAUGGGCCUCGUGCUCAUCCUGGCAACAGGAACGACCAUAAAGAAGCCGUCGAGAGGUAUCGGAAGAGUUUUCUUUUCUGUUUUAUAGCCGUACUACCAUGGAAGUCUUUCGCAGAGAGAUAUGGUAGAUGGGCUAGAAGAGCAUGACAUAUACUGUUGUGUCGAUAUUUUCUCCUCGGACCUUGAAAAUUUAUGGUGGGGAUACGCAAACUUCUCAACAGGCCGUACCAAUAUCCGCAGCUGGUCUCCAAGGUGAAGAGUCUCUAGUCGAUAGAAUA
rnacentral:rRNA from 1 species